ensembl:lncRNA
AUCCGUGUCCAUCCACCCCAUCUCCGCGGCGUCCGUCUGUCCGUCCGUCCAUCCCAAUGGUGUCCGUCUGUCCGUCCAUUGCAGUGCCGUCCGUCCAUCCAUCCCAAUGGUGUCCGUCUGUCUGUCCGUCCAUUGCAGUGCUGUCCAUCUGUCCAUCCAUCCCAAUGAUGUCCGUCUGUCUGUCCACCCCAAUGACGUCCAUCCAUCCCAACGGUGUCCGUCUGUCCAUCCAUCCCAAUGGUGUCCGUCUGUCCAUCCAUUGCAGUGCUGUCCGUCCCAUUUGGGUGUCCGUCUGUCCAUCCAUCCAUCCCAAUGGUGUCCGUCUGUCCGUCCAUCACAGUGCUGUCCGUCCAUCUCAAUGGUGUCCGUCCGUCCGUCCAUCCCAAUGACAUCCAUCCAUCCCAAUGGUGUCCGUCUGUCCGUCCAUCACAGUGCUGUCCGUCCAUCUCAAUGGUGUCCGUCUGUCCGUCCAUCCCAAUGACAUCCAUCCAUCCCAAUGAUGUCCGUCUGUCCGUCCGUCCCAAUGGUGUCCGUCCGUCCGUCCAUCCAUCACAGUGCCGUCCAUCCGUCCCAUUGCGGUGUCCGUCUGUCCGUCUGUCCAUCCCAAUGGUGUCCGUCUGUCCGUCCAUCACAGUGCUGUCCGUCCAUCCCAAUGGUGUCCGUCUGUCCAUCCAUCCCAAUGACAUCCAUCCAUCCCAAUGGUGUCCGUCUGUCCGUCCAUUGCAGUGCUGUCCGUCCAUCCAUCCCAUUGCGGUGUCCAUCUGUCCGUCCAUCCCAAUGGUGUCCGUCCGUCCGUCCAUCCAUCACAGUGCCGUCCAUCCGUCCCAUUGCGGUGUCCGUCUGUCCGUCCAUCCAUCCCAAUGGUGUCCGUCUGUCCGUCCAUCACAGUGCUGUCCGUCCAUCCCAAUGGUGUCCGUCUGUCCAUCCAUCCCAAUGACAUCCAUCCAUCCCAAUGGUGUCCGUCUGUCCGUCCGUCCAUUGCAGUGCUGUCCGUCCAUCCAUCCCAAUGGUGUCCGUCUGUCCGUCCAUCCAUUGCAGUGCUGUCCAUCCAUCCAUCCCAUUGCGGUGUCCGUCUGUCCGUCCGUCCCAAUGAUGUCCGUCCAUCCAAAUGGUGUCCGUCCAUCCAUCCCAAUGGUGUCCGUCUGUCUGUCCAUCACAGUGCUGUCUGUCCAUCCCAAUGGUGUCCGUCUGUCCGUCCGUCCAUUGCAGUGCUGUCCGUCCAUCCAUCCCAAUGGUGUCCGUCCGUCCGUCCAUCCCAAUGACGUCCAUCCAUCCCAAUGAUGUCCGUCUGUCCGUCCAUUGCAGUGCUGUCCCUCCAUCCAUCCCAUUGCGGUGUCCAUCUGUCCGUCCAUCCCAAUGGUGUCCUGCUGUCCGUCCGUCCAUCCCAAUGACGUCCAUUCAUCCCAAUGGUGUCCGUCCGUCCGUCCAUCACAGUGCUGUCCAUCCAUCCAUCCCAAUGGUGUCCUGCUGUCCGUCCGUCCCAAUGGUGUCCGUCCGUCCGUCCAUCCCAAUGACGUCCAUCCAUCCCAAUGAUGUCCGUCUGUCCGUCCAUUGCAGUGCUGUCCGUCCAUCCAUCCCAUUGCGGUGUCCAUCUGUCCGUCCAUCCCAAUGGUGUCCGUCCGUCCGUCCAUCCAUCACAGUGCCGUCCAUCCGUCCCAUUGCGGUGUCCGUCUGUCCGUCCAUCCAUCCCAAUGGUGUCCGUCUGUCCGUCCAUCACAGUGCUGUCCGUCCAUCCCAAUGGUGUCCGUCUGUCCGUCCAUCCCAAUGACAUCCAUCCAUCCCAAUGGUGUCCGUCUGUCCGUCCGUCCAUUGCAGUGCUGUCCGUCCAUCCAUCCCAAUGAUGUCCGUCUGUCCGUCUGUCCCAAUGGUUGCUGUCCGUCCGUCCAUCCCAAUGGUGUCCGUCUGUCCGUCCGUCCAUCCCAUCCCAUCCCCCCACCUCUCCAAUGCUGGAAGAGGCGAUGCGGAGGAGGAAGAAGAGGGUUUGGGGGGGGGGGGGGGGG